CCAGUAAAACAUAAGCUUCUGGCUUUUACUUUAAAGGAAAGAUGCCAGCUUCUCAGCUCAUCCUUUAAUUGCCUUCUACGUAAUAGGAGAGGUUGUUAGUAUAGAGAACAAGCCAGAACAGGGAUAGGGAAGCCAACUGCUCUCCAUUCCGACCAUGGAAAGUUCACUGGGAGGCGUGGUUUGAGUCCAACCAGAGGAUGCAGGAGACUGGAGAAGAUUUCCCUUUCGCUUCAGGCCCACGGCAAAGUACAUUGCCCUCUUUCCUUUGCGAAGCAACCACCGAGCACUUCUCAGAGAAAUGCCACAAAGAUGCCUCAGCCUCGAACAAGAGUCCUUCGCCACGGCCUGUUUUCCUUCCGCCUCGAGAUACCAGAGUAAAGAGGGGAAUACCGAGAAGUCUGUCCUGGGAUUCAGGACACAUAGGCCUUGAGCCUGAGAGUUGCUGAGGCCUCAGCACAGAGUGCCAGAGUAUUCCGUAGCUGCACAUCUCUCACCAGACAGCCAGGUGGCAUUCAGGCGACUACAAGUGUGGCGUGACAUAAGGACUCAGGAUUGGGACACCAAUGUCCGGGGCCCUGGAACUGUGCAGCGGCAUUGUGGUCCCCAUGCCCUCAGCCUCGGAACCACGGUGUACACAGACCAGCCUUCCAAAUGCCUGCAUCACUACACUGCGUUCCUUUGCCGGAGGGAGUUCUCUGAAUAUCUCCCCGUGACAGACCGAAGCACCUGAGAAUGAAUAUCUCCCCCCCCCCCCCACCUCUGUGGUGGUCUUCAACCCAAAACCAUCAGGAACUGGGGUCUGCAGCUCCCUUCUCCCUCAGGUGCAGGAACUCCAAGAGCCGGCCCAGAGAGGGACCGAGGCCAGCGUGUCCACACCCGAGCCAGGAAAGGGCGGAGACACCAGCCAUAGAGCCUGAAGCGGGAAGCAGAGCCCCUGGGGACAGAAGGCUGCCACACCACUGCCCUGGUCCCAGGCUUCCAG